UUUUUUUUUUUUUUUUUAAUGUCCUUUUCUAGUCUUUUAUGUAAUUCUGGGCCUCUGAGAUUAGAUUUGUUUAAAGGCCUGGAUCUCAUUUUAGUAGGAUUUUUAUGAUAUGAAAAGGGCUAUAAUAACCAGAUGGAGAGAGCAAGCUUUUUUUAUGUUUAUUAAUCAAGCAUUUUUGCUGCUUAAUUUUUCCGGUUUUGUAACAAGAAAAUGAGUUUUUGAUAUUUUGGUUCUCUCCUUAGAAUGCUCUCAUACUCUUACAAACUAAUUAGGGUUAGGGCUAUUAGCCACAUCAAAAAGUUUGGUAAAUUGAUUAAGGAAACUGCUCCACUGGAAAGCCUACAACAAAGUCUAACUGUUUGUCCUUCAUUAUUAACUCUAUCAAAUGUCUUUGUUCAAAAAGAUAAAUAGCUCUUUGUUGCCUGGUCUAGCAUCCAGUUUCAGGGUAAGAACAUAGCCUUGUUGGUUUUUUUUUUGAGAAUCCACGGAAACUAAAAGGUGAACCUCUUUCAUUGAGCUUUUUUUUCCCUCAUUUUAAUAAUUCUGCUAAAAUUAGAGCAUGAAUUUUCCAUUCGGUACUCUUCCAGAUUGGCUUUGGCUAAGUGAACCAGUUUUAUGAGUAGAAACUUAAUGGUCCUGAAUGGACUUUCUUGGGUUCAGUCCUUGUAUAUAGCUGACUUUUACAAAGAUUGAGGGCUUAAAUUCUUGUUUAAAGUUGAUUAUUUUAACAAUAACCAUUUAUUUUGCAGUUAUAUUUCAAUCCUGCAA
rnacentral:misc_RNA from 1 species